GUCACCCACCGGCGCACCCCGGUCGGGGCGGUCAGCCAGCCCCCUCUGGGGAGGGGAAGGCCUCGCUGCGUCUAACGCCGAGCGCUGUCGGCAACAGCCUGCUCCCUAAUCCCUGCUAGGGAGGAAUUGCGACAGCGCUCCUGCCUCCUCACGCUCAUUUUUGUGCGGAAGAUGACGCGGCGAUGCCCCCACAGCCACGCUGCUCGAUGCCUGCAGGUGCUGCGCGCGGUGCUGCCCGGCGGACCCGCGCCCAGGAAUCACUGUAACAGCUAUGACAUCUGACCCCUGCUAAGAACAUGUCCUGACUCACCUUGUUCUUACUAUUAAAGGAGCUACAGAGAAAGGAGUAGAGUGUCAGAGGUCAGGUGGGCUGGCAAGAUACUGAGUUGCUAGUGAAACUGAGCAGAGAAUUCAGAAAACUGUGCUCAAGAGCUUUGUAUUCUCCCCAGUUUUCAGUGUGACCUUGGCUGCUUCAGAAAGGCACAACGGAUUCAGCAGGAUCAACGGCAGAACGUGCAGCAUUGCAGAUGUAAAGAAACCCUUUCAAAAAGUCUAAUUAUACAGACCUAAGUCUGAAGUGUCAGAUCUAUAUCUGAACUGAUUAUUCCAUACUUAUUACACAUCUUACAUACAUAUUGUGUUCUGUAUGUGUUGGCAGCCCAAAGCAUUUUAGCUUAACUGCCAAGCUUUGAAGAAAUGUUGUUGCUUGGCUGCUGGCCACAAUGAAUAGGGAAGACAAAGUGAUAAUAAACCUUACAGACCGAAACACUGGAUCAUUUCUAGCUUCCAUUAAGGACAAUAUAACUUUAUCAUUGACUCCUUCAACACAGAGGCUGUAACUGCUAUAUCCAGUAUUUUUUUUCAGUAUUUUUUUAGUGGCAUUCAGAGUAUGGUACAGGCAACAUAAGUGUAUCAAGUCUUCUGCUCAUCUGGCAAGUAAACAGACCAUGUCCUCUGAGAAGAAAUAUAACCAGCAACCCCUGCACUGCUGUUGGUCUCAUUCAGGCAACUUCCCCUGAGGCAUGUAUGUUUAUUUAUCUUUAUUUCCCUAAUCUUUAUAAUUCUCACUAUUAACAGAGAAAAUGAUGGAGUGCUUCAUCUAAUCAUCACAAGCAGAACAGAACUUCAACCACUAGCAAAUUAGUGGUUACAGCAGACCAAGUAGAUGGGAGCCUUGGGCUCACCACCAUUUCAUACCAAGCCAGUUUGGUAUGACUUGAUGGCUCAUGGUGUAUUCCACAUCUUCCAUGUUUCAAAAGAGCAUUUUACUAGCUGAGCUGGAUCUUAAACCUUACAGCGUAUUCUAAAGCCAGGGAGGAUAGAGAGUACUUUUGAGCUCCUUCAAUAGAGGUUCCUCAGAAGAGGGUUCAAGUGGGCUGGAGUCUUUCAUCUGCAUCUUAACUCAAAUGAACUCCAGUAAUUAGGUAGAUCACAACGUUUUCCUGAGUUGGAGGGGAACCACACAAGGAGCAAAUAUUUUAAUUCAGGUCUAUGGAUUUUAUCACAUGGGAAAGCACUUAGACAAAUGGAAACAUUAGAACAACUGAACAGGAUCAGACCAAGGACCCACUCAUCCCCAAACACUGUCUCCAAAUGUGAAUAGUGAGCAUACUAAAUAUCUGAAGAGCAGAGACAGUUUCCUGCAGCUCAUGAAGGUGAACAAAAGAACACAGAAGAAAUAAGCACCAAUGUUGAACUGAAAAGAUAUUCUGUACCCCUCAAAGAAUUAUACUUUAUGAGGACCGAAGGCAAAGAGCCAAGAGCCUGGAGGCAAUUCCCCGUGUGUUCAUGACAUAAAGAAAUACAGUUAAAGAAUUCAGGGAGACUACGGGCUGGAGAGAUAAUCAGAAGCAAAAAGUUUAAUGAGUAGAGGAAGAGAAUCUACACGGAUAUUAAAUCUUCACCAUCAUUUUUCUCUCUUGAGACCAGAUACAAAGGCUUGUGAAGUGAAAAAAGUCCUUCCACCAUCUCAUUUGGGCUUUUGGUUUGUCUCUUAUACCUCACCAGCUGUGCUAGCAGGUCCAUUAACAUAUUUUGCUAGUUCUUAGCCUGCCUCAAGAGAAAAAAAUGCAUGCUGAAUCUUGCCCCUUCUGACUUUCCUCAGUCAAGGUGCUACUGUUCUGAGAAAGGCACCAGCCAGUCCCUCUGACUGAAUAAGGAUGCACCUUGCCUGAGCCUGGAAGGGUAACAAGUGGCAGUGAAAGAAGGCGAGUUGCAGGACAGUCUGAAAAGACCUCUUGACUAAGAAAAAUGUGAACUUUAGGUCAGGCUUUGAAAAAAAAAAGCACAAUACCUAGAAUAUAAGCUAAGCCAUCCCUCAGUAUCUAUUCAUAUUUACUGUGGGUUUUCUUUGAGGACACUUCUGCCUGUAACAUCUUGGGAAUGACACUGGACCUUUGGAAAUCCUUAGAGCAAUAGCAAGGUCACAAGGACUGACAGGAAAUGGGAUUCUGUGCAAAUGCUGCUGCAGAAGUUGACACUGAGAAAGUGCAAAGGGGACUCUGCUCAGGGCAAAGCCUUUCUGCCUCCCUUCUCUUUUUUUUUCACUGAGCUGUUGGCAUGUGGAAAUGAUUCCAGCUGCAAGCUGAAAGCCUACAGAAAACAUUAAAACUAUUAGAAAUAUGUAGAGAUUUUAGAGCCAUGAAGGGUAGUAAUGAGCAUUUAUGUACUUCAGUAACGCCCCCAGAAAAGAUUCCCUAUUACGUUAGCUGCAGCUGUGCUUCCCCUCACUUAAUAGCCUGUGUCCUGACCAGCUCUGCAGAGGUGAGUGAGAAUAUAUGAACAGACGACACAGGAGAGAUCUAUGUGGAAUGUGAAGCAGAACAUUGAAGCAUUAAAAAUAUGUCCUGGAUGUUGUUUGGCCCUCAUUUUCUCCUGCCAGCUGCAGAGACCCAAAGAUAAUCUUCUCCUAACACGCUCUGGACAGCAACAAGGCAUUCUUGGCAAAUCUGAUGCUGUGUUCACCAUGGAUUUUGGCAAUUACUCCAGUGUUGUUUUCCUAGGCAGAAGAUAGUAAUUACAACUCUGAGAGGUAUAAAACGACUAGGUUCAUUUCGGCUGAAUAUUCAGCUUAAAGUCUAAAAUGAAACCCUAUAAAAUUCAACAUUAUUAGCUAUUAGGCUGUUAACAAUUUUAGCAGAAACAUCCAGCUAUUUUAGGAUUGUGAAUGGAAUUUGAAAAGGGCAUCACCAGGUUUUCUUCAACUCUUUCUUCAUACACACAGCUUACUAAGAAUAAACAGUCAGAUCUGCCUUUUGAUGCAAUGCUGUUCUGGAAUGCAGUUAAAUCAAUGAUUCUUUAAAGCAUGCUGUUUUGUUUUUUUUUUUCCCUAUUUUUUUAUCCAGUGUAUGCAGUGGUAGCUGAAAAACUAAUCUUGUACUCUCCUGGGCAUCUUUGUGAUAGUAGUAAAUAGUUUAUGGUCACCUUCAGUCAAAAGUGGCCUCACAUAAGAGAAUACUUUAUUUCUUAUUACCAAUGGAUAUGGCCAACAUCUAUAUUUUUUGUUGUUGUUUGUUUGAUUUCUCUUUUUGAGCUCUCCAAAACUUAAUUUCUGUUAAUGCUUCUUUUCCUCAUUUGACUGGGCUUCCAGAAGAAGAGUGCUUCAUUACCACAGGCACUCAGUUUUAUGCCAAAUGCCAAAUUUUCUCAGGUAACAUGUUUUUGUUAGUUCUUAUGAGUUCUCAAGCUUUUAAGACGUGUGUCUCCCUCCCAAAGACCUCCUUCCAGUUUAAAUAUUGAUACUAGGCACAAUGUCCCUCAAUAGUUUUAAUUUCCCUAGAAUCCCUUUCUCAUCAGUUGUGUCAACUACGCUGAUGGUAGCUAAAAAUCUUAGUUUAUCUAACAUGUCACCAUCACUCUAUUAAUUUUCCACUGCAGUGUGCUGUUUCCAUUAUAGUAAUCUAGAGGCCUGGGGAGAGAAUGAAUAUUCAGCUUUAGCCAGGCAAAGUCAGGUGUUUUUCCAAAGCUUCUCAAACUCUGGACAUUCACUUCUUUUCUCCUCACAUCAAAAUGUCACUUACGGAUAUUACUGUACUCUGUUUACCAUCUACGGUUCACUCUAUUUUCCAGUGUAGUGGGAGUGUCAAUUGGAGGAAACCAUUUGCUUCAAAGUAGUAUGCUCCCAAAAAUACUUGCUUGAUUUUUCUUCAGUUAGUUUUUAGAAUUUUUCACCCCCUAAUAGUGCCAACCGGCAACUUGCCAACAUAUUGGGUGGAUAAAAUAUUUGCCAUCUGACAGUUCUCCAGAAAUACCUCUCCUUGUGCAAAUUUUCCACAAGGAAAGUGAUCACUCUAUGUAUGUAUUUAAUCUCCAUGAUUCUUAUCAGGUAAGAAUUUUAAGCAUUGCUGUUUUAGCACUGAUGACUGAACAGCCAACUGUGCUUUUCUAUAACCGUAAGAAUCUCAGAGCAACAAGUUAGUACUGCUUUCUCUUUAGCUGCAGAUGUAGGGGGAGUGAAAACCAGGGAAGGCAGGACUUAGCCCUUGGGGGUUGGGCCUUCAAUUCAGAGUCUCCUUCCUGUGGGUCAUACUCUUCUACAUCUCCACAUUUUUUUCUUCUUUCUGCUUCACUGAAGAAAGCACCCUCUUGAUUUGACCACAAGUCUGACACGGUUUUAACUCAGAAAUGGGAUCUUUUUUUGUUGUUUGUACUACCUCAAAAUGGUAGGGUUAUUUUUUUUUUUGUUCUUUUCUUUUCCUCCUGACCUCUUAUUUCAUAUACUCACAUGGUGAAAAUCAAGUCUCAUACAGAUGCCCUAUGUUCCAUAACGCACUUAUUUCUUUUUCAUCUGUAAGUUCUUCUGUUGAUGACGCUGCAUUCAUUGCUAAUGUCCUUGUUCUGGCACCAUACUCCCUUGUACACCUAUACCCAAUUUAAAUUUAAUAACAGCCUCACAGCAUGCACUGUGAUAGUCCAUCGGUCUAUGCAGAAUCCUCCUGAGCCAGUGAUGCUUCUUUAUCCUCGCUGUGUGUACUCUUGAAAAAUGAUGUGAUUUAUUGCAGUUAUUGCGUAUUUUCCAAGUCCUCAGUGCCAGGGUCUCUAACAGAGGUCUGUUUCAUUCAACGUCUUAGUCUAACCGGUCAGCACUGUGUCACAGGAACCUCUGAGCAGCACAAUAACCAAGCCCAACUGGUCCACAUAACAAAAGGGCUUCUGUGGCAACAAGCUGCUACAGAAGAGACACUGCCAUGGAGACCAUUCUUGAUCCAGUAAGAAAGAUCUAUUGUAUUUCACAUCCCUUUGUUCUGAAAGCAGUAGGAAUUAUCUCACAACCAUUCAUCAUGAGCCAAUGAGAUAUCGCGAGUGUAAUGUUUGGGGACUGCAAAAGUGUCAAAGCUCAUAAAAUUAGUCUUCUUGGGGAAGGGAAAGUAAAAAGGAAGUGAAAUAUAUGCUAUCUGCUGAACUAGAAGAGUAUUGAGAUGAGCUUGAGAAUUAAAGGGAGACCAAAUGGGCUUACCUGCACUCCCCAAGUAAUUGUUUGCUUUGGAAUGAGGUACACAUCUGCACACGAGCAGUGAGGGGACGGAAUGAAAGAAGAGAGUAAAGCUGACUUACUGUCUGCACAUUGAAUGUGGCAAGGGACUGCACGCUGAGCUUUUAAUUUGGUUAUAAGCAUUUCUGUUCUUUUUUGACAUCUAUCAACUUUUUGUUUUGUUUUCCUGAGAUGCAUCUCUGUUCUCUCUCCCCUCUUUGCUCUUAUGCAAAAGAGUACUUUGUAGGUAAGCUUGUCUUUCUAUUGAGGCGUAAUGCAUUACAUAGGGUAAGAUCCUGAGACUGACAUUUUCUUGCUAUGAUCCAAAACUACUUGUAUGUAUGCAAAACCUGUCUGGGAGCAGAAUGCAUUUGUCCAGCCUUGUAAGGCCAGACUGCAUUCCGGGAGUGGCUGUGCAGCCGGUGCGUCCACACCCUGUGUGUGCUGCCCACAUGGAAAGCUGAGGCUCCUAUCUCAGAUUUCUACAUGAAAAAAAAAAAAAAAAAACCAUUAAAAAAAAUAUAUACACAUAUAUAUAUAUAUACAUACAAGAGAAUCUUAUUUGGAAACAUUUUGUAGCUCAUUUUGUGAAUUAUCUACCUUCCACUAAUUACAGUUCUGUGAGUGCAUUCAAAUCUGAUGGUAAAAACUUGCUUUAUUUUCUCCAUAGAUCCACAGGGAAAAACUUCAAUAGAAAACAGUAAAUUGUUUAUGUUAAUACUUAGUUUCUUUUCACUUUUCCUCCCUCUUUUAUUUUAGGCAUCAGACUUUCAAAGCUUAGUUCCAUGUGAAGGUCUCUCAGUUGGUAUAUGAUGUCAAACUUAUUUUUGGGACAUGUAAAAAUACCAUAAGGGCUCACUAGUCUUCUAAUGAGGUAAAAUUACUUCUGAAGGAUAAAAUUAGCAUGCUGGAACUUUCCCAACAAUUAUAUUUGUACAGCCCUACCAUGUAUAUUAUACAGCAUGCUUCUAAAAAAUCAUUACUAUGAAAUACAAAUUCUUGAUGUCUUUUUGCAAUCUUUAGUUAUUUUGAGGUACUUUUUAAUGCAAUAAUUACUUUUUCUCUCCCUCCAGAAUCUUUAAAUUUGCACUAAGAAUAAUCCACAGUGUAUAAUCUUACUAUUGUGAGAAAUAAAAUAAUUGUAAUGAAACAGUGUUCAAGAACCUGGUUAAAAAUGAAGAAGAAAAAUAGAAAA